CUCUUCCAGAGUUACAAAUGGCCUUUUGGCUCCAUCAGUUUGGUGGACGGACGUAAUUUGUGUGCAGUUGUUACCUGACGUCUGAAAGCAGCUGGUUGCUCUGGAUUUUGUUUAGUGGAAGCUGAGAAAAAAGGGGGUGGCAUACAGAUAACAAGCACGUAGAAGGGUCGUAACAUGAGAAAAUGUGUUGAGGUCCUAGAGGCAUGAGAUAGACUUUCAGACUGCAACCGAUUUUUUUCCUAUCCUUCCAGGAAGGAAAUACUAGAAACACAUUCACGUCCCGGUCCUGCCUUCAGACGUCGGAUCGGUUUUACUUCACCUGACACGUGUGACGCCAAAGAGGCAUCGAGCUGCAGAUAAAAUCUACCUUUUCUUGGCACUAAAUGAGAACAUUACUUGUCACUUCCGUGGAGCUGCAUCCUUCGAGAUGAGCUGCGCGAUGGAGGAGAUGUUUCCCACCCACUCGGCAGUGUCGGAGGAUGAGAAGUCAUGCGGGCCGACAGAGAGAGGUGGAGGGCAGAGGGACGCGGCGCUCCGCUGACAGCUGCAGCUCCUGCGCCUCGACGAAGAAGUCCUGACGCUUCAGCACAUCAUUCAUUUGCUGCUAAUGAGCUGCCGUCAAAUUAGUGAUUACUGUCAGAAUUUAAUGAGUCUUAAUGAGUUAAUAGUCUUAGGAAAAAAAGUAUGUUAACA